rnacentral:rRNA from 1 species
UAUGUGAUCGUCUCUCGCAUAUCAAUAAGCGGAGGAAAAGAAACUAACAAGGAUUCCCCUAGUAACGGCGAGUGAAGCGGGAAGAGCUCAAAUUUGAAAUCUUAAAGGGUUUCCCUUUACGAAUUGUAGUUUAAAGAAGUGUUUUCUGUUGAGGUUUUGGUAAAAGUUCUUUGGAAUAGGACAUCAUAGAGGGUGAGAAUCCCGUAUUUGACCUUUACUUUCAACUUUGUGAUACACUUUCAAAGAGUCGGAUUGUUUGGGAAUGCAGUCCAAAAUGGGUGGUAAAUUUCAUCUAAGGCUAAAUAUUGGCGGAGAGACCGAUAGCGAACAAGUACCGUGAGGGAAAGAUGAAAAGAACUUUGAAAAGAGAGUUAAACAGUACGUGAAAUUGUCAAAAGGGAAGCGUUUGACACCAGUGUUGUUUUUCUGAAAAUCAAUUAAAGAACUGUUUAUGCUAAGUUGUUUAGACUUUAUCAGCUAACUGUUUAGUUUUGAGCUUUUCUUUAAUGCACUUUUCAGUUAACAAGUCAACAUCAAUUUCUUUUGCUGUAAAAAAGCUUGAGGAAGGUGGCUUGAGAUUCGUCUUAAGUGUUUAUAGCCUCUUGCCUAUGCAGUCGGAGAGAUUGAGGUCUGCAGCGUAGAUCCUUCGGGGCUAAAUGCAUUUGUGCUAAGUUAUAGCAUUUUAUAGACAACUUGUUGACUAUGAUUUGUCUUGUAGCUUACUCGCUUAUGUUAUUUUACCUACGCUUAGGAUGUUGAAUCUGUGCGAGACUAC